UUACGCAACACCCGAUCCAUGCCCCCUUCUCUUUCCACGCGCCCGGCUCAUCGUCCGCAAACACCGAGGCCUUCGAUCGGUUUCUGUAGUUUCUUCUCCCUCUAUCGAUGGCUUUGUUGCUUUCUCCCAGCUGUCGACGCCGCGUCAUGCGACAGAAGGCGUUUGCGUCGACGAGAGGGAUCGCCGGGGCGAACGAGCUUGCUGGACUGGUGGUUUCAGUUAUAUGGCGAGGCUGGUUAGUUUCUAUUGAGGAGCACAGAGCUGCUUCCAAGAAGCGACGAGAUGUUACAUCUCUGAUCAGAUGAGACUUCUUGUCAAGAUAUAGGGCCAUCUUGAUGGACAUUCUAUCGGUGGGUGGCUUAAUUCCAAGAGUAAACAGAGAUGACAAUAGAAACAUACUUGGAGUACAUGAAAUUGUCAAGGCCUACUAGUGAAGAGCACAUAAUGUACCUGCUAAGGACAAAUCUUUUGGUCCCAUUUGAACAACCUGUCCUCAAAACUUGUUGAACAAGUUGGAGAAAUCAUCAUCCAAGGAUAUCAAGCUUGAUUGCAACAGGCAUCCAAGGAUGAAAAGCUUUAUUUAUCUCAAAAGUAGGCUUAUCCGCGAUCCUUUUUCUCGUGGGUAUCUGAUAAGUUCAAGAUUAGAACUUUAUGAGAUAUGCAAAGCAAAGGUGUAUCUGCUUCACCGAGUACCAUAUUUUGAUCAAGGUAGAUGCAUGAAGCUGCCACAUGAAGAACGAAUACUUUGCCAAAUUUAUCUCAACAGUCAUCAUCCACAUCAGGUGGUCGGUGACAGAAUGCUGUAUCGAGGCUGUUGUGGAAUGGCAUCAUUCUUCAGAUGUGUUAAUUGGAUAAGAAUGUUGAACAACAUAGUGAACAUUGUGCCCAUGCAAGAGAAUGCCAACAAAAUGUCUGUUCGAGCUAAAUGGGUAAUAGAAAACAAUUGCAUGUGAACCCAAUAAAGCCAAAGGCAACUGUGACCUUGGACCCAGGAUCUCCCGGUAGAGACAAGUUAUGGUGGCACAAAGUUUUAGAACUACAGCUUUGUUCAUGAGGUAAGAAGAAACACUGGAUAUCAAGUGAAAACUAUGUUCGUGCAGGUUUGGAUGGGAACUGCUAACAAGCAGCUGAUCCUGCAGUCAAGUGAAACUUCGAUUGGAGUGCCAAAAGAACACUGAAGUUCCUCACAAGAUGAGCCAACCACAGGUAAAUCUCUUCCAUUUAUCCUAUGUGGUAUCUUCUUUAGCAAAUUAUUCGGUCAAACAUAACCACUUACAGAAGUUGCAAGGGACCAGAUCAAAGUCUAAAGAGAUCAUCUGGUCCCCUUCUCGGCGUUUGACGGAAGAAUGAAAGAGGAAAAAGAAAGAUGACAAGGCUUCAGAUGCAAUGUCUCUGGUAAGACCAUGAAACAUUGACCACGAAGCAUGCAUGAAGCGGAAUGGUCACCCACUCCACUGGUGAGA